UACGGAGGGUGCAAACGUUGCUCGGAAUCAUUGGGCGUAAAGCGCACGUAGGCGGCUCGUUAAGUCGGAUGUGAAAGCCCUGGGCUCAACCCAGGAAGUGCAUACGAAACUGGCGAGCUUGAGUAUGGAAGAGGGUCGCGGAAUUCCCGGUGUAGAGGUGAAAUUCGUAGAUAUCGGGAGGAACACCAGUGGCGAAGGCGGCCCUCUGGGCCGGGCCUGACGCUGAGACGCGAGGGCGUGGGGAGCGAACGGG
rnacentral:rRNA from 1 species